rnacentral:rRNA from 1 species
AUUGAACGCUGGCGGCAUGCCUAACACAUGCAAGUCGAGCGUGCGGCGCACAGGUGAGAAAUGUCUGGGAAACUGCCUGAUUUCGGGGGGUAACUACUGGAGGCAGUAGCUAAUACCACAUACCAUCCGAUUUUCACCGAUGGGAUGAGCUAGUGGGUGGGGUAACGGCGCCCCUAGGCGACGAUCCCUCCCGGGUCUGAGAGGAUGACCAGCCCAACGGGAACGGGGACACGGCCCAGAUCCCUACGGGAGCAAGCAUGGGGGAAUAUUGCAAAAUGGGCGCAAGCCUGCUGCGGCAAGCCCGCGGGGUGGAAGAAGGCCUUCGGGUUGAAAAGCACUUUCAGCGGGGAGGCGUUACCCGAAGAAGAAGCAACGGCUAACUCCGUGCCAGCAGCCGCGGUAAUUC